GACAGAGGGUGCAAACGUUGUUCGGAAUUACUGGGCGUAAGGCGCGUGUAGGCGGCUUGGCAAGUCGGGUGUGAAAGCCCCGGGCUCAACCUGGGAAGUGCACUCGAAACUGCUUGGCUUGAGUACUGGAGAGGGAAGCGGAAUUCUCGGUGUAGAGGUGAAAUUCGUAGAUAUCGAGAGGAACACCGGUGGCGAAGGCGGCUUCCUGGACAGUUACUGACGCUGAGACGCGAAAGCGUGGGGAGCAAACAGG
rnacentral:rRNA from 1 species